GGAUGUCAAGUCAGCAUGGCCUUUAUAUCCUGGGCUACACACACGCUACAAUGGCAGAUACAAUAGGUUGCGAAACCGCGAGGUGGAGCCAAUCCUCAAAGUCUGUCUCAGUUCAGAUUGUAGGCUGCAACUCGCCUGCAUGAAGUUGGAGUUGCUAGUAAACGCAGGUCAGCUAUACUGCGUUGAAUACGUUCCCGGGGUUU
rnacentral:rRNA from 1 species